GAAAAGUGAAGCUAAGAGAUCUAGCAUUCUGCAGAAAAGUACUGGAGAUGACUCAGGACUGAAAAUGAUCAUGAAGCCCCUUUGCAAAUAUCAAAGUGGUGAUGAAGCAGUCAUGAACUUUGACCAGAAGCCGUGUUUUGUGGGAUUGCCACUUUAAUCGCUCCUGUUCAUCAUUAGGACUGCAGCCAGAGUGUGGAAGGAGGGACUCCAAAUAUAUAAGAAGAUGCUACCACACCCUGGGAGAUUGGAUUCCCCACUGCGCUGGCUUUCUCAAGCUCUGUGAAAUGUGAUGUUGGCUGGAACUUAUCAUGAAGAGCUUUGCUGUAAAACAGAUCUGGGGUAAAGUGGGUCUUAAAAAUCCUUUCUCUAUACAUCCAUGUAGAUAGAGACCAUCUCCAUUAACAGAAGAGGGAAUGAUGCCAUUCUUAUAAAGAAGCUGUACUGUGGGCACAUUUAUUCCUAAGUUGAUAGUAGCUAUUUUAACUAUGAAAAGGAUCUGCCCAGAUGAAAGAGGGGCUGCCUGUGGAGCACAGCUGGAUGGGGGAAGCAAGG
ensembl:lncRNA IATPR ITGB1 adjacent tumor promoting lncRNA